rnacentral:rRNA from 1 species
UCUCCGUUGGUGAACCAGCGGAGGGAUCAUUACCGAGUUAUACAACUCAUCAACCCUGUGAACAUACCUAAAACGUUGCUUCGGCGGGAACAGACGGCCCUGUAACAACGGGCCGCCCCCGCCAGAGGACCCCUAACUCUGUUUUUAUAAUGUUUUUCUGAGUAAACAAGCAAAUAAAUUAAAACUUUCAACAACGGAUCUCUUGGCUCUGGCAUCGAUGAAGAACGCAGCGAAAUGCGAUAAGUAAUGUGAAUUGCAGAAUUCAGUGAAUCAUCGAAUCUUUGAACGCACAUUGCGCCCGCCAGUAUUCUGGCGGGCAUGCCUGUUCGAGCGUCAUUACAACCCUCAGGCCCCCGGGCCUGGCGUUGGGGAUCGGCGGAAGCCCCCUGUGGGCACACGCCGUCCCUCAAAUACAGUGGCGGUCCCGCCGCAGCUUCCAUUGCGUAGUAGCUAACACCUCGCAACUGGAGAGCGGCGCGGCCAUGCCGUAAAACACCCAACUUCUGAAUGUUGACCUCGAAUCAGGUAGGAAUACCCGCUGAACUUAAGCAUAUCAAUAAGCGGAGGAAAAGAAACCAACAGGGAUUGCCCCAGUAACGGCGAGUGAAGCGGCAACAGCUCAAAUUUGAAAUCUGGCUCUCGGGCCCGAGUUGUAAUCCGUAGAGGAUGCUUUUGGUGAGGUGCCUUCCGAGUUCCCUGGAACGGGACGCCAUAGAGGGUGAGAGCCCCGUCUGGUUGGACACCGAUCCUCUGUAAAGCUCCUUCGACGAGUCGAGUAGUUUGGGAAUGCUGCUCUAAAUGGGAGGUAUAUGUCUUCUAAAGCUAAAUACCGGCCAGAGACCGAUAGCGCACAAGUAGAGUGAUCGAAAGAUGAAAAGAACUUUGAAAAGAGAGUUAAACAGUACGUGAAAUUGUUGAAAGGGAAGCGCUUGUGACCAGACUUGGGCUUGGUUGAUCAUCCGGGGUUCUCCCCGGUGCACUCUUCCGGCUCAGGCCAGCAUCAGUUCGCCCUGGGGGAUAAAGGCUUCGGGAAUGUGGCUCUCUCCGGGGAGUGUUAUAGCCCGCUGCGUAAUACCCUGUGGCGGACUGAGGUUCGCGCAUUCGCAAGGAUGCUGGCGUAAUGGUCAUCAGUGAC